GCGACCUGAAAGACAGGAUUACACAGUUUAAGCUGCACUAGAAGAUGUCAGUUGUCAACACAGCUGCAACCCCAUUGACAGCAAGGAUGCCAAAACAUAUUAAGAAAGGUUGUAAGCAGACACCACGUUGGACACCUUUGAACCGGAAACGAAAACCACUACAUGCAAGUGACGCGUCUGUGCGCCGGAUGAAGGUGGUACAUCUUCCUGGCGGGAAAAACCUGAAAACAAACAGGACUUUAAAAAAAUAUAUAUAUGUUUUUUUUUUAUUAACAACAAAUCAAUACAGAAAGUACAUGAGGGAACACAAGUAUAUAUAUAUUACAUACAAUGGACAAUCGAGCUAGGGGGUACAAUAUCACAUUACAAUUACACAAGGACCUUAAGGGACAUGCAUACACUUAUAGUUCUAACAGCUUUUUUGUUAGAGUAUUUAAUUGUCUUAAAAUACAGUUCAAUUUAUUUUUGUAGGGUAAGAAAAUGUUGUUUUUUUGUAAAUUUCCAUUUGUGUAUAUGAAAUUUGGACAAAAGAAUAAUUAAAUUCAUUAAAUUAAAAUGUUUCACCUUAAAACAAACAGGACUUGUCAGUGACAGAAUUAGCGUGAAUGCGUGACUAUAUUUACCUAACAAUAUUUCAUUGAUUGCCUGUGUUGCAUCGCUCUUUUUCUCCUCCUCCCCUGUCAGUGUUUCAGUUAUCUUUCUGCGAGCAGCACGAUGGUUCAAAUUGAUAAAACUUCAUACAAGACUUCUCAAUCAUCUGAAUUCUUAUACAUGGUCAAUUCAGAGAAGUUUUGUCUGUCUCGUCGCAGAGUAUGAAAGCAUUUAGGAUAGUAUAACUUCCCUAGCUAGCUAACUAUUUCAUUUCGUCAGAUGGUAAUGAACAGAGUUCGAUCUGUUGAGAGACUGACAGCAUUGACACUCGCAAUCAGUCAGCUGUAGUGUAUGAAAGAUGAAUUUCAUAAUGUUUAGUGACAAUGUUUGAUGUCUAUGUAUUCGGUGAGUACAUCUGUUUCUACUCCCCUAUCCAUCCCUGUCCAGUGUGGAUGGUCCUGGUCCUACUGAGUAGCUGCUGGUUAAACUCCAGGGGGAGAUGAUGUCCAGGCAGAACUCUGGAUUGGCUGGGAACCUGAUGGGAGAUCUGCUAUACACCAAAGAGGCACAUGACAACAUGGCACUAUAAUGCAGUGCUAGUACACUCAUCUGUUACCUCUUUCCACUCAGAGAUGUUGUGUCUUGUCUUUACUGUGCUCACCUGUGUCCAGGUGUACCUGUGCUCAUUGUGGGAAACCACAUCCUCUAUGGAAAGGUGGUCAAACUGGAGAAGCCCUUCGCUGUCCUGAUGAAACACUCUGGCCUCCCACAGGGGGAGAAGGUUCCCAUGGAAAUCAACCAGCAGAACCUACUCUAUUUCCGCCCUCAUCAAGAAAAAGCUCAUCUUCAAUACUCGCCCAAAGCCCAUCAUCACUAAUGUGCCCAAGAAAGUGUAGUGAAGUGCUUGGUCAUAUGCAUUAUAGGGCUCACUGUCGCAAAACACUUUUAACUGGAAAAAAAUUGACAAGUUCAGAUAGUCCCUGUUGCAGUCUGUUUUCUUCCGUUUUGUGCCUGCUGCAGUCUGUUUUCUUCCGUUUUGUGCCUAACGACCUUGACCCUGGUCACCUGUGUGGGAGCAAAGGACAUGCUGCACUCUUAAUGACUCCAUACCCACAAGUAUGGAGCACACAUUGCAAGACUGUGCUUGGGACACCCUCCUCUGGCUUGAGGUUAUGGGACAUCUGAAACUAGGCUGUGUGCAUAUUUGUUUUGUUAUGUCAGUGGUUACACUGCUGGAAUUUGCUAAAUGCUGUGGUGUAUUAUCAAAAUAUCUUUAUUGUUGCACUUAUCAGAUGACAGGAUUUAGUAAUGCCUUGACAUGACAUUUGUACAGUGAUUAUUUUCAGAUGGGGAAGAAAUUGCCACAACAGUCGAAUGAGAAUAUUUUUUUAUUCAGAUAAAAAUACAUUUUUUUUCAACUGCUGUACAAGUCGGAAAAAUAACUGUUUUGAUUUCAAAUACAAAACCUUUUUCCAACAACAUGUCUUGCCUUUUAUAUUUAAACAUAAUGAAAUACAUAGGUGGUUACAAUACUUUAUUUUCUGCAAUUACAAACCAAUAAAAUGUGUAUUUUCUGUUUCAAUAGC